rnacentral:rRNA from 1 species
GAUGAACGCUGGCGGCGUGCCUAAUACAUGCAAGUCGAGCGAACAGACGAGGAGCUUGCUCCUCUGACGUUAGCGGCGGACGGGUGAGUAACACGUGGAUAACCUACCUAUAAGACUGGGAUAACUUCGGGAAACCGGAGCUACUACCGGCUAAUAUAUUGAACCGCAUGGUUCAAUAGUGAAAGACGGUUUUGCUGUCACUUAUAGAUGGAUCCGCGCCGCAUUAGCUAGUUGGUAAGGUAACGGCUUACCAAGGCAACGAUGCGUAGCCGACCUGAGAGGGUGAUCGGCCACACUGGAACUGAGACACGGUCCAGACUCCUACGGGAGGCAGCAGUAGGGAAUCUUCCGCAAUGGGCGAAAGCCUGACGGAGCAACGCCGCGUGAGUGAUGAAGGUCUUCGGAUCGUAAAACUCUGUUAUUAGGGAAGAACAAAUGUGGAAGUAACUAUGCACGUCUUGACGGUACCUAAUCAGAAAGCCACGGCUAACUACGUG